rnacentral:rRNA from 1 species
AUUGAACGCUGGCGGCGUGCCUAACACAUGCAAGUCGAGCGGUAACAGGUGUAGCAAUACAUGCUGACGAGCGGCGGACGGGUGAGUAACGCUUGGGAAUCUGCCUGUUAGUGGGGGACGAACCCGGGAAACGUCGGGCGUAAUACCGCAUACGCACUACGGUGGAAAGCCGGGACCGCAAGGCCUGGCGCUAACAGAUGAGCCCAAGUCGGAUUAGCUAGUUGGUAGGGUAACGGCCUACCAAGGCGACGAUCCGUAACUGGUCUGAGAGGACGACCAGUCACACCGGAACUGAGACACGGUCCGGACUCCUACGGGAGGCAGCAGGUGGGGAAUAUUGGACAAUGGGCGAAAGACCUGAUCCAGCGACGCCGCGUGGGUGAAGAAGGCCUGCGGG